CCCNCCGCGCNCGGCGGGCGGGGCGGGGGCACGGGGGGCCCUACGGGGCGCAGCAGGCGCGCAAACUUUACAAUGCGAGCAAUCGUGAUAAGGAAACCCUGAGUGCCUGUCGAUGCAGGCUGUUCAUAUAUCUAAAUCAUAUGGAGAAAAGCGGGCANACCGG
rnacentral:rRNA from 1 species